rnacentral:rRNA from 1 species
AACGAACGCUGGCGGCAUGCCUAACACAUGCAAGUCGAACGAGACCUUCGGGUCUAGUGGCGCACGGGUGCGUAACGCGUGGGAACCUGCCCUUAGGUUCGGAAUAACUCCCCGAAAGGGGUGCUAAUACCGGAUAAUGUCUUCGGACCAAAGAUUUAUCGCCUUUGGAUGGGCCCGCGUUGGAUUAGCUAGUUGGUAGGGUAAAAGCCUACCAAGGCGACGAUCCAUAGCUGGUCUGAGAGGAUGAUCAGCCACACUGGGGCUGGGACACGGCCCAGACCGCUACGGGGGGGAGGAGGGGGGAAUAUUGGACAAUGGGCGAAAGCCUGAUCCAGCAAUGCCGCGUGAGUGAUGAAGGCCUUAGGGUUGUAAAGCUCUUUUACCCGGGAUGAUAAUGACAGUACCGGGAGAAUAAGCUCCGGCUAACUCCGUG